rnacentral:rRNA from 1 species
AACGUAGGUCACAAGCGUUGUCCGGAAUUACUGGGUGUAAAGGGAGCGCAGGCGGGAGAACAAGUUGGAAGUGAAAUCCAUGGGCUCAACCCAUGAACUGCUUUCAAAACUGUUUUUCUUGAGUAGUGCAGAGGUAGACGGAAUUCCCGGUGUAGCGGUGGAAUGCGUAGAUAUCGGGAGGAACACCAGUGGCGAAGGCGGCCUACUGGGCACCAACUGACGCUGAGGCUCGAAAGUGUGGGUAGCAAACAGG